UUCCGGUUGAUCCCGCCGCCGGCCACUGCUAUCAGGUCUCGACUAAGCCAUGCGAGUCUAGGGGUCGCAAGACCCCGGCGUACCGCUCAGUAACACGCGGAUAAUCUACCCCCGGGUGAGGUAUAACCUCGGGAAACUGAGGAUAAUCCCUCAUAGUUAUCAUAUGCUGGAAUGCUUUGAUGAUGAAAGCCUUUACGCCUGAGGAUGAGUCUGCGGCCUAUCAGGUCGUAUGUGAUGUAAAGGACCACAUAGCCUAGGACGGGUACGGGCCCUGGGAGGGGUAGCCCGGAGAUGGACUCUGAGACAUCAGUCCAGGCCCUACGGGGCGCAGCAGGCGCGAACACUGUGCAAUGCGCGAAAGCGCGACACGGGGAGCUUGAGUGUCUUGGCAUAGCCAAGACUUUUCUCAUUCCUAAAAAGCAUGAGGAAUAAGUGCUGGGUAAGACGGGUGCCAGCCGCCGCGGUAACACCCGCAGCACAAGUGGUGGUCACUUUUAUUGAGCCUAAAGCGUUCGUAGCCGGUUUUGUAAAUCUUUAGAUAAAGCCUGAAGCUUAACUCCAGAAAGUCUGAAGAGACUGCAAGACUUGAGAUCGGGUGAGGUUAAACGUACUUUCAGGGUAGGGGUAAAAUCCUGUAAUCCCGGAAGGACGACCAGUGGCGAAAACGUUUAACUAGAACGAAUCUGACGGUAAGGAACGAAGGCUAGGGUAGCAAACCGGAUUAGAUACCCGGGUAGUCCUAGCUGUAAACACUGCCCAUUUGAUGUUGCUUUUCCGUUGAGGGAAGGCAGUGUCGGAGCGAAGGUGUUAAAUGGGCCGCUUGGGAAGUAUGGUCGCAAGACUGAAACUUAAAGGAAUUGGCGGGGGAGCACCGCAACGGGAGGAAUGUGCGGUUUAAUUGGAUUCACCGCCGGGA
rnacentral:rRNA from 1 species